AUGUGUGAGAAAGUGGACUCUCAAGAAAAGGUAUGGCUUCAAAUAGGCCAGAAUACAGAGAUGAACAAAGCAGGAGUGAAAUCAGCACUGAAGUUCAUGCUGCUGGAGACUCUGGUUUCAUUCUUAGCUGGAAACCUGGCUGAGAGUAGGGUCCCCAAUGAAGGAGUUAGAAAAAGGACUGAGGUAACUGAGGGUUGUUUGGGACUCCAUAGGAAGAACAACAAUAUUAACCAACCAGACAUCCUAGAGCUCCCAGGCACUAAACCACCAACCAGAGUACACAUGGGGGAAUCCAUGUUUCUAGCUGCAUAUGUAGCAGAGGAUGGGCCUUAUCAGGCAUCAGUGGGAGGAGAGUCCCUUGGUCCUGUGAAGGCUCAAUUCCCCAGUGUAGGGGUGAUGCCAGGGGGAAUGCCAGGGCAGAGAGAUGGGAGGGAGCGUUUCAUGGAGGUUGACCGAGUGGCCUACAUCUCCUUUGGGCCCCAUGCUGGAAAGCUGGUCGCAAUUGUAGAUGUUAUUGAUCAAAACAGGGCUUUAGUGGAUGGACCCUGCACUAGGGUGAGGAGGCAGGCCAUGCCUUUCAAAUGCAUGCAGCUCACUGACUUCAUCCUCAAGUUCCCACACAGUGCAAGCCAGAAGUAUGUACAGAAGGCUUGGGAGAAGGCAGACAUCAAUACGAAAUGGGCCGCCACACGAUGGGCCAAGAAAAUUGAUGCCAGGGAAAGGAAAGGCAAGAUGACAAAUUUUGAUCAGUUCAAAGUCAUGAAGGCAAAGAAAACGAGGAACAGAAUAAUCAAGACUGAAGUGAAGAAACUCCAGAGAGCUGCUCUCCUGAAAGCUUCUAAAGAAGCCGCUGUUGCUAAGGCUGCCAUUGCGGCCGCAGUAGCAGCUAAAGCCAAGGUCCCAGCCAAGAAGGCGACAGGACCAGGCCAGAAGGCCGCAGGCCAGAAAACUCCUGCACAGAAGGCUGCAGGCCAGAAGGCAGCGACCCCUGCUAAAGGUCAGAAGGGUCAGAAGACCCCGGCCCAGAAGGCACCCGCUCCAAAGGCAGCCGGCAAGAAAGCAUGAGGAAGCUACACAAAGAGUAAAUGUUCUUUUUGACUGA